AUUGAACGCUGGCGGCAGGCCUAACACAUGCAAGUCGAACGAGUGGCGGACGGGUGAGUAAGGUAUGGGACAAGGACUGAUGGAGGGGGUCAACUACUGGACACGGUAGCUAAUACCGCAUACCAUCAGCUGUGCCCAGAUGGGAUUAGCUUGUUGGUGGGGUAACGGCUCACCACUGCGACGAUCCCUAGAUGGUCUGAGAGGAGGCCCAGCCACACUGGAACUGAGACACGGUCCAGACUCCUACGGGAGGCAGCAGUGGGGAAUAUUGCACAAUGGGCGCAAGCCUGAUGCAGCCAUGCCGCGUGUAUGAAGAAGGCCUUCGGGUUGUAAAGUACUUUCAGCGGGGAGGCGUUACCCGCAGAAGAAGCACCGGCUAACUCCGUGCCAGCCGCCGCGGUAAUAC
rnacentral:rRNA from 1 species